rnacentral:rRNA from 1 species
CACGUAGGGCGCAAGCGUUGUCCGGAAUUAUUGGGCGUAAAGAGCUCGUAGGCGGUCUGUUGCGUCCGCUGUGAAAACUCGGGGCUUAACCCCGAGCCUGCAGUGGAUACGGGCAGACUAGAGGUAGGUAGGGGAGAAUGGAAUUCCCGGUGUAGCGGUGAAAUGCGUAGAUAUCGUAAGGAAGACCAGUGGCGAAGGCGGGUCUCUGGACAGUUCCUGACGCUGAGGCACGAAGGUCAGGGGAGCAAACGGG